AUUCAAUUUCUACAUGUAACGUGUAUAGGAAGAGAACAUAUGGCACAAGUGAUCAAGUUUGCUAAAGCUAUUAUCAUCUUUAUUUUUCUAUUUCUGUCUUUAACCAAUGGUGUAUAUAGUACAUCAUGUACAUCUGACGAAGAAUGUAAGGGUUAUUGUUACUUUCUGUCUUUUUCUGCAAUAUGCGAACAAGGUCAUUGUAUAUGCACAUUUUGGUGAAGAGUGAAGUUGAAAACUACAAUAGUAUGUUAAUUACUAUUAAAUUUGUGUCUUUAUUUGUAGACCUAAUGUUGUUCAUCAAAAGCAUAUUAAAUAUAUCAUGCAAGUGAUGUUAUUUUUGUAUGCUCUAAAAUAAAUUGAGAAGACAAAGGUCACUACAUUCACUACGCCAAAUUUGAUAUUUUGUAGCGCCUAUUUUAAUAGCACUUUUGAGGAAAGUGCUAUUGAAAAGAAAAAUAAAAAUUUAUAAUAGCACUUUAUUGUCGAGCGCUAUCAUAAAAUGCUAAGAAUUCGAUUUUGAUAGCACUUUAGGAAAAAAUGCUAUUAUUAAACUUAAAAAAAGAUAGCACUUUUUUUAAAUGCUAUUAAUGUUCUUAACUAAGAUAGCAUUUCCUUUAAAAGUGCUAUUAUUGAUUUUUAUAAAAUAAAAAAAAGGGUGACUUUUCAUUUUGGCGCAUUUGGGUGACCUUCAAAACCAAAACAUACUUCGUGAAACCCUAUCACCAUCGAAGCCGUUCGCUUUCAUCACCAUCUUCGUUAACCCAUCCGACCAGAGCUUCAUCCUUUCACCGGUGAAACCCUAUCACCACGUGAAACCCCUUUUCUCAAACGCUUCACCAUCGAUUCAUCUCUAGUACGCUCAUCCAUCACCAACUUUCAGCCUUUGAAAUUAAACAAACACACACAUUCAAAAUAAGAAUAAGAAGAAGUUGAGGUGAAGAGCAAGCAUAAAGAUAACAAGAUAAGAACCGGACCGGAAUCACUUCGAUUGCAUUUAUUUGAAGUUGUUGAUCGAAGAGCGAAGCUGGCUGCCAGGGACAUAGCGGAAGAACAAUCUGAUUCCAAGUCUCCAGGUUUAGAUUUUAGUUCUUUUGACUUUUUCAUUUGAGUUUAUGGUAGAAGCCUCAAAUAUAGGUCCAAAAACAUUGCUCUAAUAGACAAAUACUCUAGAACUAGCAUGACUACCUGUUGUGCCUUUCAAAGCAUUAUCAUCUCUAAUAUCAGUUAGUUCUUUUUAGAAAAUUCCCGUGGGACUACCCUGUGUGUGUUGAGAAGGUCCAGUAAUGGAGGAAUACUAUACAUUGACAAUGCACGAGAUAACAUGAAUGACUAUCCCAAUUUUUUUGUAGUAUACAGAUUCAUGAAUUUGUACAACCUUUCUAAGCUAGAGGUAUAUGGAAAUUCAAGGAAUGGUUUUUGAAAUUGUAUGAAUCAUUAAAUAAUCUAUUUAGUUCAUGGAGAGUGAUCAUUUAAAUUUGAAUUAUUUAGUUCUAGCAUAGAUUAUCUGGAGAGAUUGGAUUGUUUUGUUUUAACUUCACUCCAAAUUCAUACAUAUACAAAUAUAAUUUAAUGAGUUAUGACACGUUAUUAUAAUCAUUAAUCAUCCCCUAACCUUAACUAAACUAACCAUUUGAUCAUAUUAAUCAUCCAGUGACUUUCUUUAAAAAUUUAUUUUCUUCUUUUCUCAACAACUAAAACUAAUAUAAAUUUAAAAAUAAAUACACUUUGUUUAUCUAUUAAAAAAAAGUAGAAUGGAUAAAUUGUUAGAAAUGAAGCUAAAGAAUACAUGUUGAUAUGAAGUGCAAAAAUGUAAGCCAAAACUUAGGUGUUCCGUUUCAUCCAUUCACAGCCUCAAGGUUCUAUUUUUCUUCCCUUAUCUACUACUUGAACAUCACUUGGCCCCACCUAAGAUUUAUGAUAUUCUUUUUUUUUUUAUAUAUUUAUAGUUUUAUAUAAUAAAGUUCCACUAAGGGCAGUGGCAGCUCUUAGUUUUAUAUAUAGAUUGAAUUCAUUUGUUUUAUCUCUGGAUGAGGAACUCUCUCUUUUGAUGUUCUAAACUUUUUUUUACUUCGGUAAGAAGUUUGUUCUUGUGCUGUGUUGUAUCUUCUUUUUGAUAUUGUUAGAAUAAACUGUACUUGUAUGUAUAAUUGCGCUGCUACAAAUGCAAUGCUUCCUGAUUUUGUCAUUUAGGAAAGUGUGCAAGUACUUUAAAGUCAAAUAUUGUUGUGUGUGUAAUUGCUAAUUCAAUGGUUAGAUUGACCAUGAGUUUGGCAAAAGUGUGGAAGUACCUUUAAAGUCAAAUAUUGUUAAACGUGUAAUUGCUAAGUAAUUAGUUAGAUUGACCAUGAGUUUGGCAAAAUUACUAAGUGGUUAGACUGACUUAUGCUAGCUAGCUUGUAUCCUAAAUAUUUGUAAAUUAAUAUUAAUAUGUGUGAAAUUAGAAAGGAGAAUGUAAAUGUUCGGAAGUCUACGAAGUGUCGGAAGUGUCAUUGAGUCCUUCCAAAUUACUAGAGUUUGUCAAGUUAUUAUAGUCAGACCCAAAAAGAAUAAGGGAUGACAGAUUCCUUACAGAAGGUGAGAUUUUUUCAGACAAAUUGUUUUUAUCAAUAAGAAUAUUUUGAAGUUUUUGAAGAGAAUCAAUUUGACUAGGUAUUUUUCCAAUCAGAUUAUUUCCCCUUAAGACUAAGCUUUUGAACUCAUAGCACAUUUGUUUUCAUAAAACAACCUGACAGGAACCCAUAGCCAAGAAGAAAAUAUGUUAGAAGAAUAUAAAUUAUAUGUAUGGCUUUGUUUGAUUAGUUUUUUACUCGCAGGUUUCUUUUUGUUACGUUAAAUAAUUCGAAGAAGACUUGUUAGAUCCACAUUAAAUGUUUGAUUAUUUUAUAUACUCUCUAUAUGAUUGUACCCGUGGGUUCAACGCUUUUGGUUCUUGAAGUGUGGUUACUACUUGGUGCUUUUUUUGUUGUCGUUUCUU